GGAGGGAUGGCCGAGCGGCCUAAGGCGCCUGUCUUGAAAACAGGUAUGGAGCAAUCCAUCGUGGGUUCGAAUCCCACUCCCUCCGCCU
rnacentral:tRNA from 1 species